rnacentral:rRNA from 1 species
AGGAAUAUUGGUCAAUGGGCGAGAGCCUGAACCAGCCAAGUCGCAUGAGGGAAGACGGCCCUACGGGUUGUAAACCUCUUUUGUCAGGGAGCAAGAACAGGCACGUGUGCCUGACUGAGAGUACCUGAAGAAAAAGCAUCGGCUAACUCCGUGCCAGCAGCCGCGGUAAUACGGAGGAUGCGAGCGUUAUCCGGAUUUAUUGGGUUUAAAGGGUGCGUAGGCGGACUGCCAAGUCAGCGGUAAAAUAGCGGGGCUCAACCCCGUCGAGCCGUUGAAACUGGUGGUCUUGAGUGGGCGAGAAGUACGCGGAAUGUGUGGUGUAGCGGUGAAAUGCAUAGAUAUCACGCAGAACUCCGAUUGCGAAGGCAGCGUACCGGCGCCCGACUGACGCUGAAGCACGAAAGCGUGGGUAUCGAACAGGAUUAGAUACCCUGGUAGUCCACGCAGUAAACGAUGAAUGCUAGCUGUCCGGGACGAAUGAGUCCUGGGUGGCACAGCGAAAGCGUUAAGCAUUCCACCUGGGGAGUACGCCGGCAACGGUGAAACUCAAAGGAAUUGACGGGGGCCCGCACAAGCGGAGGAACAUGUGGUUUAAUUCGAUGAUACGCGAGGAACCUUACCCGGGCUCAAACGCACUACGAAUGAUGCUGAAAGGUGUCAGCCAGCAAUGGCGUAGUGCGAGGUGCUGCAUGGUUGUCGUCAGCUCGUGCCGUGAGGUGUCGGCUUAAGUGCCAUAACGAGCGCAACCCCUACCGACAGUUGCUAACUGGUCAAGCAGAGGACUCUGUCGGGACUGCCGGCGCAAGCUGUGAGGAAGGCGGGGAUGACGUCAAAUCAGCACGGCCCUUACGUCCGGGGCGACACACGUGUUACAAUGGCAGGUACAGCGGGAAGCCACCUGGCGACAGGGAGCGGAACCCGAAAACCUGUCUCAGUUCGGAUUGGAGUCUGCAACCCGACUCCAUGAAGCUGGAUUCGCUAGUAAUCGCGCAUCAGCCAUGGCGCGGUGAAUACGUUCCCG